rnacentral:rRNA from 1 species
GAUAGCUGGUUCUCCUCGAAAUAGCUUUAGGGCUAGCCUCAUGAGAGUCUUUUGGAGGUAGAGCACUGAAUGAAAGCGAGCCGCGCCAAGCGGUAUCAAUUUCAAUCAAACUCCGAAUUCCGAGAUGCUUAUUCUGGGAGUCAGACUGUGGGAGAUAAGUUUCAUGGUCAAAAGGGCAACAGCCCGGACCGCCAACUAAGGUCCCUAAAUUCGCGCUAAGUGUUAAAGGAUGUAGAGAUACUUAAACAGCUAGGAUGUUGGCUCAGAGGCAGCCAUCAUUUAAAGAAUGCGUAACAGCUCACUAGUCAAGUGUCUCCGCGCCGAAAAUUUACCGGGGCUAAGCGCGAUACCGAAGUUGCGGAUAUUUCUAAAGAAAUGUGGUAGGGGAGCGUUCCAUUAGCAUAGAAGCCAUACCGGAAGGAGUGGUGGAGCGAAUGGAAGUGAGAAUGCCGGCGUAAGUAACGAUAAGAGGUGAGAAUCCUCUUCACCAUUUGACUAAGGUUUCCUGGGCUAGGUUCGUCCACCCAGGGUCAGUCGGGACCUAAGACGAGGCCGAAAGGCGUAGCCGAUGGACAGCAGGUUAAUAUUCCUGAACCCGGUUGUGUGCGAUCGCAGUGACGAAAGCGGUUAGGUUUACCCACGAAUGGAAGUGUGGGGAGAUAGUGAUAAGCUGUCGGCUAGAAUCCGACACCAAGUGAAACACCGAAGUACGAAAGGGGUGACCUGAGUAGGAAGUAGCUGAUACCGAUUUCCAAGAAAAGCUGCUAGCUUAAGCACAAUCGGCCCGUACCGAGAACGGACACACGUGGUCAAGGAGAGUAUCCUAAGGUGAGCGAGAUAACUGUUGUUAAGGAACUCUGCAAAAUUACUUCGUAAGUUAGCGAGAAGAAGUGCUCCGUAAAAGGAGCCGCAGUGAAGAGGCCCAAGUAACUGUUUACCAAAAACACAGCUCUAUGCUAAGUCGUAAGACGAUGUAUAUGGGGUGAAGCCUGCCCGGUGCCGGAAGGUUAAUAGGAGAGGUGAAAGCUUUGAAUUGAAGCCCCGGUGAACGGCGGCCGUAACUAUAACGGUCCUAAGGUAGCGAAAUUCCUUGUCAGGUAAG